AGCCGCUGCAAAUCUUAUCCUUCCUCCCUCCAGGUUUUCUUCAGUGUCGAAAUUGGUAUGGAGACGUGGAUGGAGAUUUGAGUCUUAGGAAUUUGGGAAGAGCUCAAGUGAUUCAGAAUGAAAAGACCUUGGCACAGACCUGUUAAGGAAGCUCCAUAUAAGGGCCACCGGGGUUGGCUGAGUCAGAAUACCAGCCAUGUGGCAUGUCGCAUGGGGCAAGAGCUGUGCUGCCCAUGGGAGUCCAGAGAAGGAGCACACUAAGGACCAACACCAGAGAGAAGACAGCUGUCUGCAAACCAGAAAGAGAGUCCUCACUGCACUUCAUAUCUGCCAAUGGAUCCUUGCUCUUGAACCUCCCAACCUGCAGAAUCAUGAGAAACAAACAUUGUGUAAGCCACCCACUCUACAGUAAUUUGUUCUAGCAGACCGAGCUGACUGAGCAUUUGCUCUAGGGGAAGCCUGCAGCUAUGUCAUGAGGACCCUCAACAGCCCUGUGCAGAGGACUAUGUGGCAUGAAAGAUACCUUCUGCCAACAACCAGCCCCAACUUGCCAAGCAUGUGAACAAGCUAAACUGAAAGCAGAUCUUCAGCCCCAAUCAAGCCUUCAGAUGACAGUAACCUCAGCCAAUAUACUGACUAUAACCUCAUAAAAGACCCUGAACCAGAACCCUCUAAGCCACUCUCAAACUCUACCCCACAUAAACUGUGAAAUAAUAUAUGUUUAUUGUUAUUUUGGGCCACUAAGUUUAGGGGUAAUUUGUUAUGCAGCAAUUAUAUAACCAAUAUUCCAACUAAAGCUGAAAUGCCUCCUGCAUUUCCUCCCUCAGUGGCCUACACUACAAUCCAAGUUCAGGAAAAAACGAGAACCUUAUUUAAGGUAGUGGCAAGAAAUGAAUGGAUUAACUGGACAUUUAAAAAGUAUUUGAUAGAACUUGGUGAUAGGAGGUGGGGCAGUUAGGGACUAGCAGGAAUUUAGGAUGAGAGGCUCAUUCAGUUGGGCUUAUGUUUUACUGAGGUCAAUUCCAAAAGGAAGGAAAGAAAAAUCCAGCCAAAUAACCUUUAAUGGACUAAGUCUUCUUUCAUAAGUCAGUUUGCACAACUUCUUCACAGGAAUCAGAUUUUAAAUAUCAUAACUGAAGAGAAAAAAAACAGCAAGAGGAGUUUACCUUUAUGGUGGAAUGACACUAAUCUUUCAUGCUUUCAAAUUUCUUGAAAUUUCCUUCGUAUGCAUUAUCUUAUUUGCUGUUCACAGUAAAACUGUGUAUUGGCUAAGCCAGUUUUUAUGAAAAUAUAAGCAGUGAGAAAAAGUAAGAUAGUAUGUCAGUUAGUAGAUUUUUUUAUGGACAUUGUGACAGAGGACACAACUUAAACUGGCUUUUUUUUUUUUUUUUUUUU
rnacentral:lncRNA from 10 species